CUUAAUUGUUACUAUAAACUUUGUUUAUCAUCAUUAUCUAUAUCAGUUUUUUUCGCUAUAUACCCUUGAGAAAUACAACAAAAAUAGAUAAAAAGGAACUGAAUUGGGCUCUGUUAUUAUUCAAUUUUGAUUAUAUUCUUUUAUUGGGUUUAAUUCAAUUCGACUGUUUUGCUUUAUUGUUUUGAUUAUUGGGUGAAUUCUUCGGAUUUUUGGACGAUAAAGUUCUGUUUUGGACUAUGUUUUUGUGAAUGCCGUCUUAUAUUGGUCUCUCUUUUGCAAGUUUUGAAAUCUAGGGUUUCACUGUUUCCUUGUUAUCUGUAGUGGGUCGGACUGAUUUCUCACGGUAGAGUCGUAGUUUUCUGGUUUCUUGGUUUAUUCAUUGGUUUUUACUGAUUGAAAUUUAGUUGAAGAUGGAAUAGGGUUCUUGUUGAUGAUAUUUAGUGCACAGAAUGAAUAAUCCAUGGUGAAUAGCAUUGUGGGGUUGUCUCUUUUUGAAUCAUAUAGGGUUCUGGAAAUUUUUAAUCUGACCCCUAUAGACUGAUUUUGAUUUUGUUUCUAAAGCAUGAGAAAUAUGGGGAGUGCAGACGAGUAGCCGAAUCAUAUUAAUCUCGGGCUGGAUUGACUCAUCUAACUCGUUUGAGUGUUCCUCUUUAGUGUGAUUGCUUAAGUAUUAUAAUUUUGUGUCUUUUAGGGUUUAAUUUUUGUAAGAGAGGAACUGGGUUGCUUGGAUGCAUAGAACUAAAAUAGGUUGGGAUGGAAACAAGUGAACCUACAU
rnacentral:misc_RNA from 1 species